rnacentral:rRNA from 1 species
UACGUAGGGUGCAAGCGUUGUCCGGAAUUAUUGGGCGUAAAGAGCUCGUAGGCGGCUCAGUAAGUCGGGUGUGAAACCUCCAGGCUCAACCUGGAGACGCCACCUGAUACUGCUGUGGCUAGAGUCCGGUAGGGGAGACUGGAAUUCCUGGUGUAGCGGUGAAAUGCGCAGAUAUCGGGAGGAACACCGGGUGGCGAAGGCGGUUCUCUGGGCCUUACCUGGACGCUGAGGAGCGAAAGCGUGGGGAGCGAACAGG